AGCUCCAAUAGCUUAUAUUGAAGUUGUUGCAGUUAAAAAGCCAAUAUUUUGAUUUCUGAAUGAGCACAUGGGUCCGCUCUUACGAAUGUAUACCAUACACAUCCGGCCUUUUUUUAGGAGAGCCAUGGUAACAUUAGGUUGUUGGUGUGGGGAUCCCAAUCCUUUACUGUUAAGAAUUUAGAGUUUUCAAAGCAGGUUUACACCGUUUAAUAUAUUAGCAUGGAAUAAUAACAUACAAACAUUGUACUAUCUUUUGUUGGUUUGCAAAAAAUAGUAAUGAUUAACAGGGACAGUUGGGGGUAUUUAUUUUCUAUCGUCAGAGGUAAAAUUCUUGGGUUUUUUGAAGAUAAACUAAUGCAAAAGCAUUUAUCAAAGAUUUUUUCA
rnacentral:rRNA from 1 species